CCCCUAUUGCACCCCCCUUGUUGCAGCGUACAUGUAUUAAUACGCUUCAACAACCAAUCGGUCAACGCGGGUCAAACCAUUUAAAGGGUUGUUGCAGCGUACAAUUUAAUUGUUCCCUGCAAAAAAGUUUAUUGCAGCGUACAUUUUAAAAGCCCCCUGCUAUAACUUUUUGUUGCAGCGUACAAUUUAAAAGCCCCCUGCAAUAGCCGGGUAAAAAAUUGCUCCCUAAGUGAUUCAGAAUACAAAUUUUCAUUUCUCGCGCUCAACUCCCUCUUCUUCCCUUACCUUUCCCUGCGUCGUCCCCUAAAAAAAACCUAAGACGCAUCUCAAAAUUUCAGUUCUCGUUGUUCGCGUCCCGUUCUCCUCUCCUCACUUCGAACACUCUUUCUCUUCGUUCCUCUGCAUCGCCGGCCACCACCUCCUUCAUGUCGCCGCUGCUGGUGUGGUGGUUGUGAUGGUUAUUGCGUUGUUGUGGUUGAUGGUGUUGUCCCGCCUCCGUGCUCGCCUUUCCUCUGUUUGUCGCCGCCAAUAAUGGUGGCCACCAACACAACAUCAUUUGCAAUCCAUCACUAAUUGGUAAGUUGAUUUCAAUUUCUCCUUCAAUUGAUUUAAUAAGUUCGUGAUUUAAAAUCCCAAAACCCUAACUAAUCGAUUUCAAUUUUCUUUUCCCCAUUGCUUGCGCCGCCCCUUCUGGUUGUUGGGUGCGACGGCGCUCUGUCGUCGCCGCCGCCUCCUUGUUCGUUGUUGUGAAUGCUAAUUAUGGUCUUGCUCUCCCCUUCCCUCUCCUCCAUUGUUGCUGCUCGUUUCUAGCCCAAGUUUCAUUGUCUCCUUCCCAAACAAUCCUCCUGAUCCAAAAAAGGAUAGUGCCGCAGUUCAGAAAUUCUUUGCCAAUAUGGAAGUCGCAUUCAGGGCGCAUCCACUUUGGAGCUGUUGUUCAGAAGAGGAGCUUAAAAGUGCUGGUGAAUUGCAGGGAGUGGAGACGGUUUUCACUGUAAUUCGGGCUUGUUGCGGGGCCGGAAUUAUUGGGUUUACCUUAUGGUAAUUUUCUUGAUGCUAGGUCUUCAAAGAAACCUGCAUUUUAGCAUCGUCUUUCUAGAGAACGGCAAAUUCAUUGGCAAUCGUCGUCGACUUCUCCGGUGAGGAUCACGUGCCACUGAUUACAGUUGAUGCUGCUCUUCUGCUACACUUUCUCAUAUUCUUUUUAGCAGUCUGUCUUGUGCUAUACAGUGCAGUAACAAUGAUGCUUGGAAAGCUGAAGUUUUCUUUACUCAGCCCUGUUGCUGACUGAUCUGCUCCUACUGACUGAUCUUCUGCUACACUGCUGCUGCACUAGUGCAAUGUUGCUGCUGAUUGAUCUGUUGUUACGCUGUUGCUGCUGCACUAGUGCAAUGUUGCUGCUGCUGGAUUAUUGUUGUUGCUGCUGCUUGAUUUAUGUUGUUGAUGUAGCUUGAUUAUUGUUGUUGCUGAUGCUUGAUUAUUGUUGUUGCUGCUGCUUGAUUAUUGUUUUUUUUGUUUCUGGUUGCUGCACUUGUGUGAAUGUUCUAACCGCCACAUUUUGUAUGUUUUACUUGAUUCAGGAACUCCCUAGGUACCAUGAAUAAUAACCAAAAUUUGUUGGGCAUGAAUCAGAAUGUGGCAGUGAUCGAGUUAUUACUCCCGCAACAGGUCACAAAUCAUAAGGUCUACACUCCGAGGAUUGCGCCUUAUGCGAGGAAUUUGAUGUGGUUUGUGAGCAAUGGGCUAAGUUUUUUACCAACAAGUAUUUAUUAUUGGCUUUAGCGCGCUUGAUCGAGUUGGUUUAGUUGUUAUAGAAUAAAUUUUAUAUUAAAAUGUAUGUUUAUGUUGAAAUUGGAACAUAUAUUUAAAUGUAAUAUGUGCACUUUGGUUUUGGGAUAUAUAGUAUACAAAACUCCAGUUGUUGUUUUUA